GGUAAAAUCCGUAGAGAUCACUAGGAAUACUCAUAGCGAAGGCGACUGACUGGAACUUUACUGACGCUGAGGCGUGAAAGCGUGGGGAGCAAACAGGAUUAGAUACCCUGGUAGUCCACGCCCUAAACGAUGUACACUAGUUGUUGCGAUGCAAGUCAUCGCAGUAAUGCAGCUAACGCAUUAAGUGUACCGCCUGGGGUGUACGGUCGCAAGAUUAAAACUCAAAGGAAUAGACGGGGACCCGCACAAGCGGUGGAGCAUGUGGUUUAAUUCGAAGAUACGCGAAGAACCUUACCUGGACUUGACAUCCUAUUAAUAACAUAGAGAUAAGUUAGUGCUAGUUUACUAGAAAAUAUUGCCAGGUGCUGCACGGCUGUCGUCAGCUCGUGUCGUGAGAUGUUGGGUUAAGUCCCGCAACGAGCGCAACCCUCGUCGUUAGUUGCUAACAGUUUGGCUGAGCACUCUAACGAGACUGCCUGGGUAACCAGGAGGAAGGUGAGGACGACGUCAAGUCAUCAUGGCCCUUAUGUCCAGGGCUACACACGUGCUACAAUGGUUAGGACAAUGAGACGCAAUACCGCGAGGUGGAGCAAAUCUAUAAACCUAAUCUCAGUUCGGAUAGCACUCUGCAACUCGAGUGCUUGAAGCUGGAAUCGCUAGUAAUCGUAGAUCAGCAAUGCUACGGUGAAUACGUUCCCGGGUCUUGUACUCACCGCCCGUCACACCAUGGGAAUUUAGUUCACCCGAAGCCGGAAUGCCAAAUUGGCUACCGUCCACGGUGGGCUCAGUAACUAGGGUGAAGUCGUAAAAAGGUAACC
rnacentral:rRNA from 1 species